rnacentral:rRNA from 1 species
AUGAACGCUAGCUACAGGCUUAACACAUGCAAGUCGAGGGGCAGCAUGGUCUUAGCUUGCUAAGGCCGAUGGCGACCGGCGCACGGGUGAGUAACACGUAUCCAACCUGCCGUCUACUCUUGGACAGCCUUCUGAAAGGAAGAUUAAUACAAGAUGGCAUCAUGAGUCCGCAUGUUCACAUGAUUAAAGGUAUUCCGGUAGACGAUGGGGAUGCGUUCCAUUAGAUAGUAGGCGGGGUAACGGCCCACCUAGUCUUCGAUGGGUAGGGGUUCUGAGAGGAAGGUCCCCCACAUUGGAACUGAGACACGGUCCAAACUCCUACGGGAGGCAGCAGUGAGGAAUAUUGGUCAAUGGGCGAGAGCCUGAACCAGCCAAGUAGCGUGAAGGAUGACUGCCCUAUGGGUUGUAAACUUCUUUUAUAAAGGAAUAAAGUCGGGUAUGGAUACCCGUUUGCAUGUACUUUAUGAAUAAGGAUCGGCUAACUCCGUGCCAGCAGCCGCGGUAAUACGGAGGAUCCGAGCGUUAUCCGGAUUUAUUGGGUUUAAAGGGAGCGUAGAUGGAUGUUUAAGUCAGUUGUGAAAGUUUGCGGCUCAACCGUAAAAUUGCAGUUGAUACUGGAUAUCUUGAGUGCAGUUGAGGCAGGCGGAAUUCGUGGUGUAGCGGUGAAAUGCUUAGAUAUCUCGAAGAACUCCGAUUGCGAAGGCAGCCUGCUAGGCUGCAACUGACAUUGAGGCUCGAAAGUGUGGGUAUCAAACAGGAUUAGAUACCCUGGUAGUCCACACGGUAAACGAUGAAUACUCGCUGUUUGCGAUAUACAGCAAGCGGCCAAGCGAAAGCGUUAAGUAUUCCACCUGGGGAGUACGCCGGCAACGGUGAAACUCAAAGGAAUUGACGGGGGCCCGCACAAGCGGAGGAACAUGUGGUUUAAUUCGAUGAUACGCGAGGAACCUUACCCGGGCUUAAAUUGCAGAUGAAUUACGGUGAAAGCCGUAAGCCGCAAGGCAUCUGUGAAGGUGCUGCAUGGUUGUCGUCAGCUCGUGCCGUGAGGUGUCGGCUUAAGUGCCAUAACGAGCGCAACCCUUGUUGUCAGUUACUAACAGGUUCUGCUGAGGACUCUGACAAGACUGCCAUCGUAAGAUGUGAGGAAGGUGGGGAUGACGUCAAAUCAGCACGGCCCUUACGUCCGGGGCUACACACGUGUUACAAUGGGGGGUACAGAGGGCCGCUACCACGCGAGUGGAUGCCAAUCCCCAAAACCUCUCUCAGUUCGGACUGGAGUCUGCAACCCGACUCCACGAAGCUGGAUUCGCUAGUAAUCGCGCAUCAGCCACGGCGCGGUGAAUACGUUCCCGGGCCUUGUACACACCGCCCGUCAAGCCAUGGGAGCCGGGGGUACCUGAAGUGCGUAACCGCGAGGAGCGCCCUAGGGUAAAACUGGUGACUGGGGCU